rnacentral:lncRNA from 1 species
CUUCCUCUAGAAUAAAGAAUGAAGAAAAUUGAAAUGAUCUCUGAAACUCGAGAAUAGUUAUGUAAAAGAGAAAAAACAAAGUCUAUCGUUCAAAGGCUACUGAACCAGGAAACAGAUAGCCCACGUAAAAAUCCCAGCUCUGGGAUCAACUGGUUAGAUUAUUUUCAUUCGGGCAUCUUUUCUUUCUGCACUACUUCAUCUACCAGUUGCUAACAUUGAAUGAACCUUUACAGUGUUCCGGGUACUGUUUUAAGAGAUUUUCUAUACUCAUAUAACAUUUUUGAAAGAAAAAGUGAAAUAUAGGCCUACAUGUUCAGCCUCAACGUGAACGUGAUGAGGGUGAAGACCUUUAUGAUAAUCCACUUUCACUUAGUGAAUCGGGCUUGGACUGCUGCAUUCUAAAAAUAAUGGUGAGAAGAAUGAAUAAAUUAGAGUUUACUAUGUAAUAAAACCUUCUAAAAAAGAGGAGAGGUAGCAGAAUUUACAAGAAGAUUAAACCUGACCUUACCGAAGAGAAUGAUACCCUCAUAGCAGCACAUCUUCUUUGCUCACAGAAAGCACCUUGGAAAAAUGUGUUUUGAGUUUCAAGUGAGCAAAACUUCAAUGUGUCUGCCAUUUUGGGGAAGAAGUUGUAACUUGGAGUGAAGGUAGAGGGAUUUAUUAUGAGAGCUUUGCUAGCAGACAUCUCAUUCUUUAAGACAAAAUCAACACACAAACAUAAUUGGUCAAAGGAAAAAAGCCACAAAACCAAUUCAAUAACAUCUGAAGCCUGAGAGGAAAAUGAAAGACAAGAGGCUGUGGCUUCAGCUGUGUCUGCUGACAACAGGAUAAAAAUGGUUGCAUUGAGAGUGAGCUGCAUUUUCACCAGGCAGAGCAAACUGGGAGCAAAGCUGUGUGUUUCUUGGAAAUCAAAAGAGGACUCCAAGAAAAGAAGCUUUUAAGAGGACUGGCUGGAGAGUCAAAGAAGAUCCAUUAGCUUCUGGACCACUGAAAACCUAAGGGCUGAUGGUGGGGGGUAAGUGGCCGGCAGCAGGGAGACAUUUUCUGUAUCUAGGAUGGUAUAGAAAAGACCCCCACUGGACAGAUCUACAAAGAACAACUAAAGAGUCUCAUGGUGGAACAGGUCAGCUCUGGACAUCAGUCAAAUCCAGGGGAGCCUCUUAUACUGGAUUGCAAUUGUGUUGGGCAUGUACAACUGUGUUCUUUUUCUCUAAUGGCUUCUUUCUUCUGGUCAGUCUCUGGAAGGGGUGAAAGAGUGAGAAAUAGUAGCCAGCAAGUGUGGAAAGAGAUGUGGAAGAGAGAACGGGGAAACAGUGAAAGCAAUUGCAUUUCCCCCACUUUCCAAAUGUAAGUUAUCCAGGUUAAAUGUAGGCCCCACCUGACUAGGCAAAGAUUUUUUCCUUUGUUGUGAGUUUGAAAAGAACUAAACAUCAUACUGAAGUGGAAUUAUUGAAAUUGGAUAGACCCGGGUUCAAAUCUUGACUCAGUUAUGUAACAUCUUGUGAAUUUUGACAAGUUCCUUAACUCCACUGAGUCUGUUUUUAUACCCAUACAGUGGAUGUAGGAUUGUUAUGAACAUUAAUUGAAAAAUUACAUAUAAAAUAAGUGUCCAGCAUAGUUCCUGGCACAUACGAGUGCUUGAAAACUACCAAUCCACUUCAUCAAUUUGUGUUAUGCCCUGCAUGGGCACAUAUUUGCCUUGAUACUCUUCAAAAUGUAGAAGUACCCACAGAAAAAAAGUCUCAGUUCAAGCACAGUAUUAUUAAUAUUCUACUGAGUACUAAGUAUGGUCGUUAAUAGUCUAAUAUGAGGAAGUCAAAACAGUCUCUGGAAAAAGUCUUUCUGCAAGCUUUUUGAAGCUUCAGGGGUUACUACAAAGACUGGAAAAUCAAUCUUGAACUCAGCCUUUUAAUUUCUUUUCAUGAUUACUGUUCUCAAAUGGAGAAUGCAAUUAAAAUUAAUGCUGUCUUAGUUCACUUGCUCAAAAUAAACAUUGAUCAAAUUCUAUGUGAA